GACAAAGUAGGUUGUCUUGUCUGGGUGUUUUAAUGCGAUGGUUUACUAACGCUGUUGUUACCUCCUUCAACAGCGCUGGAAUGCUCAUGAAAGCGGAACGGAGGAGUACGAGGCAGAAGGCCAGCUGCACCUGUGGAACCCUGAUGAACCCUCUACCCCACGGGGCUCUAUCACACCCCUCUCAGACCACCAGGAGGAGAGGUUUCGGGAGGCCUGCGAGGAGCUGACUAUGCCUUGGGAUGGAUUUGCCAGCCACCAUGAGCUACUGGCUCUCUGUGACCACCUGGGCCUGGAGGUGACGGAGGAUGUCCUCCAGGUUCUAAGUGGUGAUGAGGUCAUGAGCGUUCAGGCGUUUACUUCCUGGGUUCUGAACCAUGCCAAGCCCCCCACCCCGUCUGCCUCCACACCUUACAGACAGCUCAAAAGACUACACUCCUCACAGGUACAGUGAAGCUCACCAUUUUAGAUCUAGUUCUCAUGUCAAAGCUAGACAUCGGU
rnacentral:lncRNA from 1 species